UUAGCCAAUUGUCCAUCUUUAGCUAUUCUGAAUGCCUAAAGAUAGACAAUUGGCUAAAU
rnacentral:pre_miRNA from 1 species